AACGCAACUGGCGCCGGUUUACCGGCAUGCCUGUUUCAUUGUGCUAGGAGAGUAAACUAUCAUUAUAAAAUAUAAUGCGAUUGAGGUACAUUUAUGUUCUUCUUUCGUUAAAUAUGAAGGUGUGAAAGAUGAGUAAUCUCUCACACUGGCAAACGAAGUAGUCAUGCUUGUUCGUGAUCUCGUUUAACCAGUGCUAAAGGUUUUUGCUUAGAUAUAAAUCACGUGUAUUCAAGUAAAUUUUUAAAAAUUGGGCAUCAGAAAGCAGACAAGGAUACCCGCUGAACUUAA
rnacentral:misc_RNA from 1 species